rnacentral:lncRNA from 1 species
AUUGAACUCAGGGACUCUUAACCAUUGAGCCACAUCCCCAACCCUUUUUUGUAUUUUAUUUAGAAACAGGGUCUUACUGACUUGCUUAGUGCUUCACUAAGUUGCUGAGGCUGGCUUUGAACUUGCGAUUCUCCUGCCUCAGCCUCCUGAGUUGCUGGGGUUACAGGUACAUGCUCGCACGCCUGGCUUACAUUAAAUGUGUUUUUGACUUGAUAUUUUCAAUUUACCAGAGGUUUAUCAGGACACAACCCCAUCUUACGUUGAACAUCUGUGUAAGUCAUGUACAUUUACCUGAACCAAAUAAUUCCUAAUCAUUGGAUAUUCUGUCAUCUACAUUGCAGGACAUACAAUAAAAAGUGGAUGUCCUUCACAGAAUUAAUAAUUAAUUCUAUUAAUUAGCUAUUUUUAGUUAAUUAUGAACUUUAUGAACUUCCUUUCUAUGAACUUCUCACGCUUUAGAAUGCCAUGGUGGGUUGUACUGGCCUCUUUCUGUUUUCUCAUUCCAAUUCAACAAAUCUUAAGAUGUUUUAAACAAGUGCAUUGAACUGUAUUCUGGUAGUGGUUAUGUCAUACCAAGCAUAUUAAAAUAACUCAAGAAAGGAAAUGAUCAAAUGAGGCUGUAUCUCCACAGGGUCAAACCUUGGGUUAAAAGUUUAAAACUCAGACAUUUGCAGUGGUUGAUUUCCUUUGUUCAUUUUCGGGACCUCGAAACUCUU